rnacentral:rRNA from 1 species
GAUGAACGCUGGCGGCGUGCCUAAUACAUGCAAGUCGAGCGAACGGACGAGAAGCUUGCUUCUCUGAUGUUAGCGGCGGACGGGUGAGUAACACGUGGAUAACCUACCUAUAAGACUGGGAUAACUUCGGGAAACCGUAGCUAAUACCGGAUAAUAUUUUGAACCGCAUGGUUCAAAAGUGAAAGACGGUCUUGCUGUCACUUAUAGAUGGAUCCGCGCUGCAUUAGCUAGUUGGUAAGGUAACGGCUUACCAAGGCAACGAUGCAUAGCCGACCUGAGAGGUUGAUCGGCCAAACUGGAACUGAGAACCGGUCCAAACUCCUAGGGGAGGCAGCAGUAGGGAAUUUCCCGCAAUAGGCGAAAGCCUAACGGAGCAACGCCGGGGGGGUGAUGAAGGUUUUCGGUUCGUAAAACUCUUUUAUUAGGGAAAAACAAAUGUGUAAGUAAUUGUGCACCUUUUGACGGUCCCAAAAAAAAAAGCCCCGGCUAACUACGU